GUCCACGCCGUAAACGAUGAGUGCUAAGUGUUGGGGGUCGAACCUCAGUGCUGAAGUUAACGCAUUAAGCACUCCGCCUGGGGAGUACGGUCGCAAGACUGAAACUCAAAGGAAUUGACGGGGACCCCGCACAAGCGGUGGAGCAUGUGGUUUAAUUCGAAGCAACGCGAAGAACCUUACCAGGUCUUGACAUACCAUUGACCGUUCUAGAGAUAGGAUUUUCCCUUCGGGGACAAUGGAUACAGGUGGUGCAUGGUUGUCGU
rnacentral:rRNA from 1 species